rnacentral:rRNA from 1 species
UGGGGGAAUAUUGCACAAUGGGCGAAAGCCUGAUGCAGCAAACGCCGCGUGAGGGAAGACGGUCUUCGGAUUGUAAACCUCUGUCCUUGGUGAAGAAACAUGACGGUAGCCAUGGAGGAAGCCACGGCUAACUACGUGCCAGCAGCCGCGGUAAUACGUAGGUGGCAAGCGUUGUCCGGAUUUACUGGGUGUAAAGGGAGCGCAGGCGGGAAGGCAAGUCAGCUGUGAAAACUAUGGGCUUAACCCAUAGACUGCAGUUGAAACUGUUUUUCUUGAGUGGAGUAGAGGUAAGCGGAAUUCCGAGUGUAGCGGUGAAAUGCGUAGAGAUUCGGAGGAACACCAGUGGCGAAGGCGGCUUACUGGG